GAUUUAUCUGCAAGAAAAAAUAUACUUGAAAUAGAUUCUAGAAAAGGCUUCUUUUGUGGUCUGUGUUGUUAUAUACAUGUGUAGUGAAUCUAUAUAACCAAGAACUGUAAACAACAGUCCACGGCAGUUUUGUGAUUACAAUGCUUUCCGUCUGGCUUACAAAGAAUACAUCUUUAUGCAUAAAGGCAUUCCAAUAAGAGCACAGACGGGGUCAACUUAAACAGCUGUUCUAGAGAAACUUGAUAGUUUGCAUGUAGUACGCGACAGGUCGAGAUGGCAAUCGGGGAGGAGACCGGCGCGGGUGACGUGCGGGUGUGCGUAGCCUCACACCUCGAUUGCCAUCUCGACCUGUCACGAUAGGUGAUCCGCUCGGGUGUUUGAUAUUUGAUUCGGGUCAUUGAUUACCUAUUAUGUGCACAUAAUUAAAAACGACUACCUACUUCAUGGCAAAUGUAGACAACAAUUGUUAUAACUUUGUCACUAAAAACAUUCCUAACUUUUGUUUGACCAUUUAUUUUAUAAAUAGCCAUACCUGUGUGCAAUAUUUAUGAUAGCAGAACAAA